GUGACUAUGGUCAUGAAUACACCUCGGUCAAGGGACAAGGAAGGGAUUGGCCCUCAGCCAAUGGGAGCUGACAUGACCAUAUACAACCACAGUUCAGAUUUAACUUUGGUAUGAAUGGACCCCUGCCGGAGGGCAAAUUGGUUUGAUCCUCCUUGAAGCAGUAGAUCUGCAGCUGGGGACUCUUUCCUUGAGAUGCCACCCAAGCAAACUCCUCAGUGUUGAGAGCCCUCAUCUUAUAGGCUUACACAAAAUGUCAAGAAAAAUCAAUGGGACAAAAUCAACUUGAAGAUGAAGACGGACAAUUUCCAUUGCAGUAAAAUGAAGUCAUGUAUUCAUACCUGAGAAUAUAAAUUGGCUCACUGAAAAAAAGACCACCAACAUUAUGACUUUGCAUGGACUAUAGAAAGUAAAGUAGAAGCUCUCACUCCUUUUCCAUAUUCCAUCAUUAAGGUUAACAUUCAGGCUCUGUAUCCAGUGCAUAAAAAGAGUUAAUUGGUUAAGAAGGCAAGAAGACUCUACAUGCUGCAAGACUCACCUAGAUGGGACAGUAGGAAUGGAAUUCAUCUGCCUUAUGCCUGAGCUAUCCACCCAUUAUAAUCACUAGAGAGAAAGAGAUACUUUCAGAGGCUAAUUCACCUGUCCUGUCUCAGCAUUUUAUCUUCUGAGAUGAAUCACCCCCUAAAGAUGAAAAUUUCUCUCCUUUGGAUGCAAAGCUUGACUGGAAUGACCUGCUAACUUUUAGACAGUGAAUCAGACAGAGGACACUUGGGCUUAAGGAUAUACUUGGGUUUAAGAAUAUACAUUAUGCUCUCAUGUGGAUACAUAGAAUUCACAGCUUUAAAAGCAGGACAGCAAUUAAUCCUUCUUCUAAAUGGAUGACAAUCCCAUUACUGGAGCCACUUGGAAAGUCCCAGACUGGACUCAGCGAUGGACAGGAACUGAACUCAAAAACCGGAUUCAGGAAGACACAGAUCAGAAUCAAAGGCAGACAGACAGAGUCCUUCUCAGAUGCUAGCCAUUGA
rnacentral:lncRNA from 1 species